rnacentral:rRNA from 1 species
AUCAACUUUCGAUGGUAGGAUAGAGGCCUACCAUGGUAGUAACGGGUAACGGGGAAUUAGGGUUCGAUUCCGGAGAGGGAGCCUGAGAAACGGCUACCACAUCCAAGGAAGGCAGCAGACGCGCAAAUUACCCAAUCCCGACACGGGGAGGUAGUGACAAUAAAUAACAAUACAGGGCCCUUUCGGGUCUUGUAAUUGGAAUGAGUACAAUUCAAAUCUCUUAACGAGGAACAAUUGGAGGGCAAGUCUGGUGCCAGCAGCCGCGGUAAUUCCAGCUCCAAUAGCGUAUAUUAAAGUUGUUGCAGUUAAAAAGCUCGUAGUUGAAUUUUGGACGGUGCAGCGUGGUCCGUCCUUUUGGGGACGAGCACUGCGCGGGCACGGUCUCACCUUCUGGCGAGGCGGGAUGCUCUUUGGUGGGUGUCUCGCGGAGCCAGGACGAUUACCUUGAAAAAAUUAGAGUGCUCAAAGCAGGCUCCGGCUUGAAUAGAUUAGCAUGGAAUAAUGGAAUAGGACGCGUGGCUCUAUUUCGUUGGUUUCUAGGAUCACCGUAAUGAUUAAUAGGGAUAGUUGGGGGCAUUAGUAUUCAAUUGUCAGAGGUGAAAUUCUUGGAUUUAUUGAAGACUAACUACUGCGAAAGCAUUUGCCAAGGAUGUUUUCAUUAAUCAAGAACGAAAGUUAGGGGAUCGAAGACGAUCAGAUACCGUCGUAGUCUUAACCAUAAACUAUGCCGACUAGGAAUCGGGCGAUGUUAUUCAGAUGACUUGCUCGGCGCCUCAAGGAAACCAAAGUGUUUGGGUUC